AUUGAACGCUGGCGGCAUGCCUUACACAUGCAAGUCGAACGGCAGCACGGGAGCAAUCCUGGUGGCGAGUGGCGAACGGGUGAGUAAUAUAUCGGAACGUGCCCAGUCGUGGGGGAUAACGCAGCGAAAGUUGUGCUAAUACCGCAUACGAUCUAUGGAUGAAAGCGGGGGAUCGCAAGACCUCGCGCGAUUGGAGCGGCCGAUAUCAGAUUAGGUUGUUGGUGAGGUAAAAGCUCACCAAGCCUGCGAUCUGUAGCUGGUCUGAGAGGACGACCAGCCACACUGGAACUGAGACACGGUCCAGACUCCUACGGGAGGCAGCAGUGGGGAAUUUUGGACAAUGGACGCAAGUCUGAUCCAGCAAUGCCGCGUGCAGGACGAAGGCCUUCGGGUUGUAAACUGCUUUUGUACAGAACGAAAAGUCUUUAAUAACACUAGAGGCUCAUGACGGUACUGUAAGAAUAAGCACCGGCUAAC
rnacentral:rRNA from 1 species